GGCCAGGUGGCGGAGUGGUUAACGCGGUAGACUCGAAUAUUCACUAUUACAGUGUGUAUCUUGCCAUCUACUUCCUUCGGGAGCGUCUGUUCGAAUCAGGCCCUGGUCG